rnacentral:rRNA from 1 species
GGGGAAUAUUGCACAAUGGGGGAAACCCUGAUGCAGCAACGCCGCGUGAAGGAUGAAGGUUUUCGGAUUGUAAACUUCUUUAGUCAGGGACGAAAAAAUGACGGUAGCUGAAGAAUAAGCCACGGCUGACUACGUGCCAGCAGCCGCGGUCAUACGUAGGUGGCAAGCGUUGUCCGGAAUUACUGGGUGUAAAGGGCGUGUAGGCGGGAAUGUAAGUCAGAUGUGAAAUCCCAGGGCUUAACCCUGGAGCUGCAUCUGAAACUAUGUUUCUUGAGUGCCGGAGAUGAGAGCGGAAUUCCUAGGGUAGCGGUGAGAUGCGUAGUUAUUAGGAGGAACACCAGUGGCGAAGGCGGCUUUCUGGACGGUAACUGACGCUGAGGCGCGAAAGCGUGGGGAGCAAAC